UCCCUGGUGGCUCAGACGGUAGAAGCAUCUGCUUGCAAUGUGGGAGGCCCAGGUUCGAUCCCUGGGUUGGGAA
rnacentral:tRNA from 1 species